rnacentral:rRNA from 1 species
UACGAAGGGGGCUAGCGUUGAUCGGAAUCACUGGGCGUAAAGCGCGCGUAGGCGGCUUGUUAAGUCAGGGGUGAAAUCCUGGAGCUCAACUCCAGAACUGCCUUUGAUACUGGCGAGCUUGAGUCCGGGAGAGGUGAGUGGAACUGCGAGUGUAGAGGUGAAAUUCGUAGAUAUUCGCAAGAACACCAGUGGCGAAGGCGGCUCACUGGCCCGGUACUGACGCUGAGGUGCGAAAGCGUGGGGAGCAAACAGG